AGUGAACGCUGGCGGUAGGCCUAACACAUGCAAGUCGAACGGCAGCACAGUAAGAGCUUGCUCUUACGGGUGGCGAGUGGCGGACGGGUGAGGAAUACAUCGGAAUCUACUUUUUCGUGGGGGAUAACGUAGGGAAACUUACGCUAAUACCGCAUACGACCUACGGGUGAAAGCAGGGGAUCUUCGGACCUUGCGCGAUUGAAUGAGCCGAUGUCGGAUUAGCUAGUUGGCGGGGUAAAGGCCCACCAAGGCGGCGAUCCGUAGCUGGUCUGAGAGGAUGAUCAGCCACACUGGAACUGAGACACGGUCCAGACUCCUACGGGAGGCAGCAGUGGGGAAUAUUGGACAAUGGGCGCAAGCCUGAUCCAGCCAUACCGCGUGGGUGAAGAAGGCCUUCGGGUUGUAAAGCCCUUUUGUUGGGAAAGAAAAGCAGCGGGUUAAUACCCCGCUGUUCUGACGGUACCCAAAGAAUAAGCACCGGCUAACUUCGU
rnacentral:rRNA from 1 species